rnacentral:rRNA from 1 species
UGGGGAAUCUUGGACAAUGGGGGCAACCCUGAUCCAGCCAUGCCGCGUGAGUGAUGAAGGCCUUAGGGUCGUAAAGCUCUUUCGCCUGUGAAGAUAAUGACGGUAGCAGGUAAAGAAACCCCGGCUAACUCCGUGCCAGCAGCCGCGGUAAUACGGAGGGGGCUAGCGUUGUUCGGAAUUACUGGGCGUAAAGCGCGCGUAGGCGGACUGAUCAGUCAGGGGUGAAAUCCCGGGGCUCAACCCCGGAACUGCCUUUGAUACUGUCAGUCUUGAGUCCGGAAGAGGCGAGUGGAAUACCGAGUGUAGAGGUGAAAUUCGUAGAUAUUUUGGGAGGAACACCAGUGGCGAAGGCGGCUCACUGGCUCGAUACUGACGCUGAGGUGCGAAAGUGUGGGGAGCAAACAGGAUUAGAUACCCUGGUAGUCCACACCGUAAACGAUGAAUGCCAGUCGUCGGGUAGCAUGCUAUUCGGUGACACACCUAACGGAUUAAGCAUUCCGCCUGGGAGUACGGUCGCAAGAUUAAAAGCUCAAAU